rnacentral:rRNA from 1 species
UACGUAGGGACCAAGCGUUGUUCGGAUUUACUGGGCGUAAAGGGCGCGUAGGCGGCGUGACAAGUCACUUGUGAAAUCUCCGGGCUUAACUCGGAACGGUCAAGUGAUACUGUUGUGCUAGAGUACAGAGGGGGCAAUCGGAAUUCUUGGUGUAGCGGUGAAAUGCGUAGAUAUCAAGAGGAACACCAGAGGCGAAGGCGGAUUGCUGGGCUGAUACUGACGCUGAGGCGCGAAAGCUAGGGUAGCAAACGGG